rnacentral:rRNA from 1 species
CGCGAGUAUUCAGAGUUUGAUCCUGGCUCAGAUUGAACGCUGGCGGCAUGCCUUACACAUGCAAGUCGAACGGUAACAGGUCUUCGGAUGCUGACGAGUGGCGAACGGGUGAGUAAUACAUCGGAACGUGCCCGAUCGUGGGGGAUAACGAGGCGAAAGCUUUGCUAAUACCGCAUACGAUCUACGGAUGAAAGCGGGGGAUCUUCGGACCUCGCGCGGACGGAGCGGCCGAUGGCAGAUUAGGUAGUUGGUGGGAUAAAAGCUUACCAAGCCGACGAUCUGUAGCUGGUCUGAGAGGAUGAUCAGCCACACUGGGACUGAGACACGGCCCAG